GCCCGGGUGACGUAAUUUGGCAGCCGUGGCGGACUUAAAAUCCGCUGCUCCGAGAGGAGCGUGUGGGUUCAAAUCCCACCCCGGGCA
rnacentral:tRNA from 1 species